rnacentral:rRNA from 1 species
UCUACGGGAGGCAGCAGUCGAGAAUCAUUCACAAUGGGGGAAACCCUGAUGGUGCGACGCCGCGUGGGGGAAUGAAGGUCUUCGGAUUGUAAACCCCUGUCAUGUGGGAGCAAAUUAAAAAGAUAGUACCACAAGAGGAAGAGACGGCUAACUCUGUGCCAGCAGCAGCGGUAAUACAGAGGUCUCAAGCGAUGUUCGGAAUCACUGGGCGUAAAGAGUGCGUAGGCUGUUUCGUAAGUCGUGUGUGAAAGGCGCGGGCUCAACCCGCGGACGGCACAUGAUACUGCGAGAAUAGAGUAAUGGAGGGGGAAGCGGAAUGCUCGGUGUAGCAGUGAAAUGCGUAGAUAUCGAGAGGAAAACUCGUGGCGAAGGCAGGUUCCUGGACAUUAACUGACGCUGAGGCACGAAGGCCAGGGGAGCGAAAGGGAUUAGAUACCCUUGUAGUC